rnacentral:lncRNA from 1 species
GAUCCUCAAGCCCUUGCUGAACCACAGUCCCCACUUAGUAAACAGGAGCUAUUUUCCCAUUUUAACACAGACAUCUAAUUGCUUUAUGACUAUUUGUCUAUGUCUAUCUCCCCUUCUAGACUGUGAGUUACAUAAUGGAAAAACUAUUGUUUUUAUUUACUCUUGAAUCCCUUAAUAAUUUAAACUUUGCCUGCUACAUAAUAGAGCCUCAAUUUCUGAAUGAAUUUAGAACACAAAAAUAAAGACAAAUUUUUAAAAAGGAGAUAUGGUGAGAAUAAAUAACUAGAAAAUUGACAUUCUAUAAUGCUUCAAGGAGACAGUUUGAAAACAUGUCUAAAUUUACCAUCCAAUCCUCACCCCUAAUGAAUGUGUAAUAGCACAGAGAAGAUGAAAGUAAAGAGAGGAUACACACAUGGCUUGUAAGAUUGUGGCAUAAAACCUGGAACAAAAUAUUAUAUGUACCUCAAAUUUCAUCCUUGAAGAUCACCUCUAAAUACCACAUUAAGUCACUGAAAGUUAAAACCGAGAUGACAACAAAGGUAAUUUUCCAUUCCCUCAGUUAAGAGUUCCAUUCUAGUCAGUGACAGAGGAAAUUUUAGACACCCCUUAAAUAACCCCAGAUCUAUGCAGAGAUUCAUGGCUUCCUAGAUGAUCAUCGGUGGUAAAGGCUUCCUGUUUACCCUUGGGCAUCCUCUGGAAAACUCUCCCUGUUACCCUCCUAUAUCUGGACCAGAUACCCCAAUUAGAGCCCUAUUAGCAUGUUGCAGCCUCUCUCAUUUUCCUCUUACUCUGGAUUGUAAUUACCUGGAUACUUGCCAUUUUAUCUACCAGGCUUUAGGUUACAUUAUGGCAAUAAGCUGGUUUGCCUUGCUUACUGCUUCAUUGUUUAUGCGUAGCUCGGUAUCUGGAAUUGAGGGGGAAUGGGUGAUGAGAAGGAAAGAAGACAAGCAGGCAACCAAAAAAAGAAUGAAGGAAGGCAAGUCUCCUAUCUAGAAAUACUAAACAUUCUCUAAUGAGCCCUGAAACAUUAAGGUUUAAGUGUUUCUCCUAGAAUCUUGACUCAUAAGAGAGCCUGGAGCUUUUUAGGAAAAACAAAAUGCCUACUUAGCAAGGGAAACCAGCUGGCCCACAACUCCUUUGGAACCAUCCUUGACACUAUGAUUAGCCUUGAUUUUGCUUUACCAUUUGUCUGACUUAUAUUAGGUGACAAUGGAUUAACUGACCUCAGCUGUAAUUUACUGCUGUGUUCCAUGGGAUACUUAAUCCCUCCAAUCAUCUAUGGAGAGGUCCCCAACACAAACAACAAUGUGGUCUACGUUGUGUAAAUUGUGUUACCUUUGCCUUUUCCUUUGUCAUCUCUGCAUUAUAUGUGAUUUUGUAUUUUCUCUCAUUAGAGAUGAGUUAAACUCACUUGUAAUCUGUGGGCUUUGUUAUUCAUAGAAGGCCGACUAUCUUCUUUCACUCAAUAUAUAUUACCUUAUUUUAAACCUAGCAUGCAUGUGUCUAACUUCUCAAAUUAACAGAAGGUAUGGACCAUGCCCUAUAUUAUAGAUUUAUCACUUCUUUUAGUGGUUAACUUAUUAUGUUGAGCAAAAGAGGUGCUUGAUAUUUUAAAAAAUGAUGAAACAUAAAAAGUAAAGGUAAUUAUUUUCUUAUUAAAAAAGAAAUAUUUCUUUCUAAUAUUUCUAAUACUUCUAAAUCAUAAAGAUUGUGGGAUUUCUAUUAAGAAUUAAAAAUAUUUGAGAAAUAGUUUUCAAAAAUCAUUGGCUGUAUCUGUAUGUGUAUCAUCCGUGUUUGCACUGGAUCAAAAAACCCAAGGUGCUUGUUCAGUUUUUGGUUUUGUUUGUUUGUUUUAUGUUGGACACCAUAAAAGAUGUCAUUGAAAAGCAUUCACUCUCCUUUUCUGUCACCAGCCACUUGGACCUACUAGGCUCCACCCUCACUGAUGUCACAGAUGGCAUCUCAGCAGCAAAAAGGUCAGACAAAAAAGCUCCAAGUUCUCAAGAUUUAAAAGCAAGUUAUCAGGAUUUGGACUAGAGCCCCAAACCAUACAGGCUAUAAGGUCAGAGCUUAACUGUUUUUCCAUUUUAUUGCUCAAGGACAAGAGAGUUUGAUGCAUGAGACUCCAGCCCCAUAAACCGUCUACUGAGGUGGCCAUUUUAUCACGUAUGGUUGUGAGUUGAGUACUGACCACACAAUUUAAAUCGACAGCAGCAGGGCCCUGGUGGAGAUGUGAGAAGCAAUGUCACACACAACAUUCUCUUCCUAAUUAUUGGGACCCAGACAGGUGGCAGGAAGGGAAUGAGGGGUGAGGUGGGGGGAGAGGGAGGGGCGGGGAAGCACAGUGACAUUUCCCAUCUCAGGAGUACAAGAUUCAUUACCGCUGAUGAAAAGUCACCAGGCUGCGGUGAGUCCUGACAUACUCCGUGACAGGAGAAAGUGACAUGGCCGUUUGACAUUCAGGGCUAGAAGGUUGCCGGUCUGUAAUCACUAGUUAAAAUUGAAUCUUGUACAUUGCACCCUGCCAGCACAGCUCAACUCUUGAUAAUUAUUUGGAUGCUACUGUAUUUGGAUUUUAUUUCCCCAGCAGAGAGGGGAAGUUGGAUUUAUAGUUUACUGCUGGGUUAAGAUUGGAACAGGCUAGAUCUUUUUUAUGGUUAAUAUGGGAGAGCCAAAUAAAUCUAGAGGUGUUUUUUUGGUCCCCAUUUUAAUUCUAAACCACUUGGGGAGGGGGGUGGGGAGCCACAAUGGAAUCAAAGAGUGUGUCUUCUAAUUUUUCAUGAACAAGCUACAAGUCUGUCUAUGGUAAUGUUUUUCUCUUUUUUCCUUUCAACUUACGAUGCUUUAAACCAGCCAUCUGGACAUGAAUGGGACUGGGAAAUAUCAUUUGCAAUUGCUAUAGCCUGAGCACCCACAUGGAUGAGGACAUAGGUGGUCAAUGCCGCUCAACCAUGUCUUCUUUACCUGGAGUUCAGGAGAAGGACAAGAGAAAUGUUUUACAGUGGGUCAUUUUAGCAUAAUUACAGACUGGCCUUGAAAUGCAGGUUUAAUAAAAGCAUGCUGGAUUCCAACAAGAAUACUCUCUCCCCUCACUCCUAUUUUGAAGCAUGGAAGCUUCCAUUCUUUGCAGGAGCCACAGCCUGUAUAUUCACUCUAUUAAGCCUGGAGAAUUCUCAGAUAUCUAGCUUGACAGGCUCGAUCACAUAUUUUAAGGAAUCACAGGCCACAUGUUGAAAGAAGGGUAAAGUGAUCACCAGAGGUAACUUUAUGUACAGACAGAGUAAGUGUUGCCUGCACUCUAGGAUUUAACUGUUCUUUGGGAAGUAGGCAGAGUGGCUUGAUCUAAGGUAGUUUUGCCAUUACCCUCCCUAAGUGUCUAAAAGACCCUAAUUAGAAAAGCAUCAAUUUAAAUAAAAUCUUGUGUUCACAAGUUCCAAAAUAAGUCAUCAUUAUUUCAUGGAGAAAAGACAAAUAAUUCUCAAACACAGGCAAAGAUAAAUAAAGCAUGGUAGAAAUUUUUCUGGGAAAGGCUGAUAGGCUCUGGUCCAAGAAGGCUCAAAAAUUGGAAUUCAAGAGUUUCUGUCAUGGCACAGCAGAAAUGAAUCCGACUAGGAACCAUGAGGUUUCCGGUUCUAUCCGUGGCCUCCCUCAGUGGCUUAAAGGAUCCAGCGUUGCCGUGAGCUGUGGUAUAGGUCACAGACGCAGCUUGGAUCGGGCAUUUCUGCGGCUCUGGUGUAGGCCCGUGGCUACAGCUCUGAUUGGACCCCUAUUCCGGGAACCUCCAUAUGCCACGGGUGCGGCCCUAAAAGAUCAAAAGAAAAAAAAAAAAAAGAAUUGGGAUUCAUUGCUCUGUGGGAUUCACUCUGAACCCAGGGUUGACUCACAGCCUUGCUCCUGCUGGAAGCCGAUUUCUGGUGGUUUAUUGUGAUCUUCCCAGGAACUUCCAUUUUCUGCAGGUGUGGCCUUAAAAAAAAAAAAAAAAAUUAGCCACAUCCUAAACAGAAGGUAUCAGGGUAAUCACAGAGUCACCAAGGAAGUAAAAAUUAACUCAACUCUUCUCCCUUUUACUAGGAGAGUAUGCAUAGCCGAGGCUGUCUUCACCAAAUCUCAGACUGCCCUAAGGCACUGAGAUGGCAUCCUUAGUAUAUAGUUCUCUUCUGAACAGUUCUGAGAUGGGCAUUGUCAACCACUGCUUUCUCUCUCUCCUUUGUUCAAUGUUCAAUAGUGUCCCCUCUACUUACCCUCCACUUCAUACCAGAGAAAUGAUGUUGCUAUCAGAGCUCACUUUCAGAAAGCAAUGAUAUUUUCUGGCUUUGCUAGUCAGUCACAGAAUAAAUAAUGUAGAGAGUAUAAAUUCAUUACCUGCUUUUGUUUCACCAGAAAAUGUGCUGAUUGAAUGAGGCACCUUAAGGAGAAGGUUCCUUGCUCAAAGCGGGGAUUUCUAAACAGGGAAAAGUCAAGGGAAGUAACUGAGUCUUGAGAAACUUUCCAAUAGAGUGAUAACAAUACCCAGUAAAAGGACAUGCACAACUAGAGAACAUAGAACAAAGAAGAGAGAAAAAGAAGGAAAAAAAUUAAAAAAAAGAAAACCCAAAUAUAUCAAGAAAGAUUAAAUUAUCCCUAUAAUCUCCUAGUGGAAAUAGAUUAAGGAGUGACUUGGACACUGAGGUUACUGAAAGGAUGAUCUCAACAGUGGUGAAAAUGAGGUACUUGGGUUGGUUAUAUGGGGUGUGGUUAAAGGAAUAAACCAACUUUUCAGUCAUAGGACACCUCAACUUCUGCUACUUGUAAAUUGGGUAAAAGGCAAUUUCUUUUUUUAUGUGCCUUGAUUACCUUUACUUGGGAAAAAUAACCUCAAUUAUUCAUUGUCUAGGCCCCAUAGCAAAAACACAAACUUGCAGCUAAUAUGGGAUUUCGCCAAAAUUUGCUCAUGGCGAACUGAAGAGCAGUCCCCAUUUUCCCAUGGUUGAGAAAAGACCUCUUCCUCUUCUUCUGCAUGCAUAUCAUGUAUAGUUCCUAUCAAGACCUGCUCUUCCCCUCUACCUUGAAGUCUCCCCCAUCUAGCCCACACUAUUGAUCUUUUCUCUAAAUUUCUGUAGAAUUCAACCUUCUUAUAUAAAUGUAUCACACAUGUUUCUCCAUUUCCUAUUUAUACAUCUUGCUUGAAUGAGCAACUAUAGCCUGGAGGUAAGAAGUUUCUGAGACCUAAUGUUCAUCUUUGACCUCUUGGAAACUCAAUUUUCUUAUCUAUUGUGAUAAGGAAAUAAAACUGUGGACCUCAAAGGUCACAUCCAGUUCUAAUAUUCUAUAAAACUAUGUCGUGUUUUCUUUGUUCUUAUCCUGGAAGGGAAAUGGAAUUUUCUUUGUUAAGUUUGCACAACUCUGUGUUUGUUCAAUCCAAGGUAAGAAGAAUGCUCUAAGAACAAUGCUUGGUACCAGAUUCCGUUCACACCAUAUGUGUACCCUAAUGAUGGCCCUCCUCAUGCAGCAACACCUGCCAGAGCUCAAACCAGCACAAACUUCAUGGGGUGACUCUUCUCUUUCUGCAUGUAGAACUUAGAUACUCAAUGCUUUAUAGAAUCAAAGUGUGCAUGUGUGUGUUCAACAUUUUCAUUUUAGAACAUUGAAUCACCAGACUCUAGCCUCAUCUUGUUUAUGUAUGUUUCUGAGGAGAUCAAGCUGUCUGGAGCCUUCUACUCAUACUGCUCCCAGUUUGUGUGCUUUCCCUACAGCUCUUGAUGAAAUUAGCAUCCUGGAAUAUUCAACAGAAGUCAUUUUUAUCAUGCAAUCAAGAUUACUGCCACUAAUGUUAGACAUGUGUUAUGGCAGCACACUGAAAGAAAGCCCACAAGCUGUAGCAUUGCUCACAGGUGAAAAGAGCAUAAGCCUCCAAACACCUAGAAGAGGGUGGCUUGUCUUUAGACAGUAUUAUUAUUUUAACAUGCAUGCUAGUGUUCUUUUAAAGAUUAUUGAUCGCAUUCAUUGGCAUGACACAAUUGGGGAUAAAAUUAUCAAUAUCUCAUUGAACAGGGAUGAUAGGGAGAGAAUUUGUGGCAGCCUCAGGUGAAGCCUAGAGAUUGGACCACUGGAUUUGGAUAGAUUUUCUUUAUUUCCUUUGAAUGCAUGUCCCCCAAGAAGGAAGAUUUCUAUUGCUGAAUGAGGUUGGAGCUUAUUACUCCUUUUAGGAAUACAAAGAAUAGGAGUCUU